rnacentral:ncRNA from 1 species
GGGAGCCGUAUGCGGGAAAACUGCACGUACGGUUCUUAGAGGAGUUUAUCUCCAACUGUUUAAUUAUUAGAGAAGGAGAAAAUUUACUUAUGC